CCUACGGGAGGCAGCAGUGGGGGAUAUUGCACAAUGGGGGAAACCCUGAUGCAGCGACGCCGCGUGUGGGAAGACGGUCCUCUGGAUUGUAAACCACUGUCCCCAGGGACGAAGAUGACGGUACCUGGAGAGGAAGCUCCGGCUAACUACGUGCCAGCAGCCGCGGUAAUACGUAGGGAGCGAGCGUUGUCCGGAAUUACUGGGUGUAACGGGAGCGUAGGCGGGACUGCAAGUUGGGGGUCAAAUCUACCGGCUCAACCGGUAGCCGCACUCAAAACUGCAGUUCUUGAGUGAAGUAGAGGCAGGCGGAAUUCCUAGUGUAGCGGUGAAAUGCGUAGAUAUUAGGAGGAACACCAGUGGCGAAGGCGGCCUGCUGGGCUUUUACUGACGCUGAGGCUCGAAAGUGUGGGGAGCAAACAGGAUUAGAUACCCUAGUAGUC
rnacentral:rRNA from 1 species